GGUCCUUUUGACUUUGGGGAGGAGCCAGAAGUUGCCUGGUGCCAGAUCUGGUGAUUAAGGCGGCUGGGGACACAGCAUCAUGUUUGUAUUUGACAGACAUUGCCAUAAAUGACUUGAAUUGAUUCAGGACAUCAAGGCAGCCCCGAGAAUGCAACCAAAGAUACUCACAAAAGAGAACUUCAGAACUGCUUCAGAAGCGGAAGGAAUGAUAGGGAUUGUGGGUGAUCAUCUUCCAAAAGCAAGAGGUUAUGGAGUGGAUUCCAUCUGCAGAGGAGGAGGAGAAAAAGGCAGUGGACUCUCUCACUUCAAAUGCGAUUAGAGAGAUGUGUAAAAUGUGGGAAACAGUGCAAAAUUUU
rnacentral:lncRNA from 1 species